UACGUAGGGGGCAAGCGUUAUCCGGAAUCAUUGGGCGUAAAGCGCGUGUAGGCGGUUCCGUAAGUCCGCUCUGAAAGCCCAGGGCUCAACCCUGGGAGGCGGGUGGAUACUACGGAACUGGAGUACGGAAGAGGAGAUUGGAAUUCCUGGUGUAGCGGUGAAAUGCGCAGAUAUCAGGAGGAACACCAACAGCGAAGGCAGAUCUCUGGGACGUUACUGACGCUGAGACGCGAAAGCGUGGGGAGCGAACAGG
rnacentral:rRNA from 1 species